GUUAAGAAAGAUGAGAAUUA
rnacentral:snRNA from 1 species